UACGUAGGCAGCAAGCGUUGUUCGGAAUUACUGGGCGUAAAGAGUGUGUAGGCGGUGUUCUAAGUUUGUCGUGAAAUCUCCCGGCUUAACUGGGAGGGUGCGGCGAAAACUGGAAUGCUAGAGGGUGGGAGAGGUAAGCGGAAUUCCUGGUGUAGCGGUGAAAUGCGUAGAUAUCAGGGGGAACACCUGUGGUGUAGACAGCUUACUGGACCAUUUCUGACGCUGAGACACGAAAGCGUGGGUAGCAAACAGG
rnacentral:rRNA from 1 species